CACAUUGUGCUUCCAGAUCUCGCCGAUCAGGCUGGAGCCGGUGCCUGCCUCCACGUCCUCCACAUCAGGACUAAAUUUGUUUGUGGAUGUCUUUGUAUUGGUGAAAUGAUGAAUUAGUUUAGGAUUAGUUUAUGUUGAUACGAAGAUCCGGUGAUGUUUUAUGCCUCCUGUGCAUGGGGAUGGGAUUUGACGAUUUGUUCAAUUUGUGCAAAGUAG
rnacentral:lncRNA from 1 species